UGGAAUUAAAGAAAUAUUCAUUAAGAUCAAAGAAGUUUAUACAAUUUCAAGAAUAAAAAAAAUAAAUAUAUAAAACUCGUGUCCCUUUGUUAGGGUUGCAUCCAACCCUAGUGAAGAGAUUAGCCUUCCAUGAAGAGUUGAACAGCUGUACUACAGGGGACUUCAUGAUGAUCGGCUCCUUCCUCCCGUCAGCUCCCUCUCAACAAAUCAUCAUCUCUUCCUUUGGGAAAUCAUUACCAAAGUACCCAAACUCUUCUCUCCCUUUCCUCUUCUUCCCAUGGGAAGUUGGCCUGUGAGAGAUUUAGUGGAUGGGAACAACCCCGGUGGGGAAGAAGAAUGCCUCUUCUUCACGUUCUGACCCUUUUUAUAGGCUACCAACUCCCCCUCGCUCCUCCCCUGUUCUAAGAUAAGGAUGAAAGGAAACGGGAUAAUGCAAAUUCCUUGAUCCUUGGACGCGGUUGAGAUGCUGCUGGGAUGCGGAGGAAAAGCUUCACUGCAAGAUAAGGAUGGAAGAGAGAGCUGAGCCGGACGCGUGGAAGACGUGGAAGAAGGUAAUGAUCCGUGGAUGAGCUCUUGUUCUGCUGGGGAGAAUCCGGAGGAUAAUGAAAUGGGUCUCGGCUCUGUUCCGAAGCAAGAGAAAGCUGUGGACGUGAGAGGAUCUCGGAGGUUGAGUGCGAACGAGAGGUAUCCUGAGAACGGCUGGCCAAUGGAUCACGAACGGCAAGAUUUUGGAAGAGGAAAUCUUGGAUACAAGCUGAUCCGGGUAAGGAUGGAAGGAAGAAACAGAUGGAUUCGUGAGCUGGGGUGUUGGGAGAUUCGAAUGGAUGUGAUCUUGAAACAGGGGAUUCUGUUUUUGGACAUGAUCUGGAGGGAGUGAUGUUGCUUCAACGCAGUGGAGAUGAAGAUAUUGAGAGGAUCUUGGCUAGGAGGAGCUGGGACUUUGCUUUCUUGAGCUAUGAUAAGAUGAACCGGGAGCAUGGGAUGAAGCAUAAGCUGGGAAUCCGGAGAAGGUUUGGAUGGAAGAUGCAUUCGGUUGCUGUUGUUUGGAUGAGAUGAAGAUGAGUCGCUGAAUAACCGGUCGUGGGAGGAGAUGGGAUGCUGGGAAGAAAUCUGGGAGUUCGGAAGGCGAUGAAGACGGGAUGCUACGCGUAACAGGGGAGCUGGAAUCAAGCCGGAAGAGGAGGAUGCUGGGAGGAACUCACGGACGUUGGGAUGAACCCGUGGAUAAGGAUGAACUCGGUCGUAGAGCCGUGGGAGCUUGUAGGAAGAGGGAACGGUUGGAAGAUGUUGAUCCACGGGAGAUUGGCUCUGUUUUGAAUCUAAAACAGGGGAGGAAAGGAU
rnacentral:lncRNA from 1 species